GAUGAAGAACGUAGCGAAAUGCGAUAAGUAAUGUGAAUUGCAGAAUUCAGUGAAUCAUCGAAUCUUUGAACGCACAUUGCGCCCGCCAGUAUUCUGGCGGGCAUGCCUGUCCGAGCGUCAUUUCAACCCUCGAACCCCUCCGGGGGGUCGGCGUUGGGGAUCGGCCCUUUACGGGGCCGGCCCCGAAAUACAGUGGCGGUCUCGCCGCAGCCUCUCCUGCGCAGUAGUUUGCACACUCGCAUCGGGAGCGCGGCGCGUCCACAGCCGUUAAACACCCCAAACUUCUGAAAUGUUGACCUCGGAUCAGGUAGGAAUACCCGCUGAACUUAAGCAUAUCAAUAAGCGGAA
rnacentral:misc_RNA from 1 species